rnacentral:rRNA from 3 species
GUUGGGUAGGGGAGCGUUCUGUAAGCCUGUGAAGGUGGCCUGUGAGGGUUGCUGGAGGUAUCAGAAGUGCGAAUGCUGACAUAAGUAACGAUAAAGCGGGUGAAAAGCCCGCUCGCCGGAAGACCAAGGGUUCCUGUCCAACGUUAAUCGGGGCAGGGUGAGUCGACCCCUAAGGCGAGGCCGAAAGGCGUAGUCGAUGGGAAACGGGUUAAUAUUCCCGUACUUGGUGUUACUGCGAAGGGGGGACGGAGAAGGCUAUGUUGGCCGGGCGACGGUUGUCCCGGUUUAAGCGUGUAGGUGUGUGUUCCAGGUAAAUCCGGUUCACUUUAACACUGAGGCGUGACGACGAGGCACUACGGUGCUGAAGCAACAAAUGCCCUGCUUCCAGGAAAAGCCUCUAAGCAUCAGGUAACAUCAAAUCGUACCCCAAACCGACACAGGUGGUCAGGUAGAGAAUACCAAGGCGCUUGAGAGAACUCGGGUGAAGGAACUAGGCAAAAUGGUGCCGUAACUUCGGGAGAAGGCACGCUGACACGUAGGUGAAGUGAUUUACUCAUGGAGCUGAAGUCAGUCGAAGAUACCAGCUGGCUGCAACUGUUUAUUAAAAACACAGCACUGUGCAAACACGAAAGUGGACGUAUACGGUGUGACGCCUGCCCGGUGCCGGAAGGUUAAUUGAUGGGGUCAGCGCAAGCGAAGCUCCUGAUCGAAGCCCCGGUAAACGGCGGCCGUAACUAUAACGGUCCUAAGGUAGCGAAAUUCCUUGUCGGGUAAGUUCCGACCUGCACGAAUGGCGUAAUGAUGGCCAGGCUGUCUCCACCCGAGACUCAGUGAAAUUGAACUCGCUGUGAAGAUGCAGUGUACCCGCGGCAAGACGGAAAGACCCCGUGAACCUUUACUAUAGCUUGACACUGAACAUUGAGCCUUGAUGUGUAGGAUAGGUGGGAGGCUUUGAAGCGUGGACGCCAGUCUGCGUGGAGCCGACCUUGAAAUACCACCCUUUAAUGUUUGAUGUUCUAACGUGGACCCGUAAUCCGGGUUGCGGACAGUGUCUGGUGGGUAGUUUGACUGGGGCGGUCUCCUCCUAAAGAGUAACGGAGGAGCACGAAGGUUGGCUAAUCCUGGUCGGACAUCAGGAGGUUAGUGCAAUGGCAUAAGCCAGCUUGACUGCGAGCGUGACGGCGCGAGCAGGUGCGAAAGCAGGUCAUAGUGAUCCGGUGGUUCUGAAUGGAAGGGCCAUCGCUCAACGGAUAAAAGGUACUCCGGGGAUAACAGGCUGAUACCGCCCAAGAGUUCAUAUCGACGGCGGUGUUUGGCACCUCGAUGUCGGCUCAUCACAUCCUGGGGCUGAAGUAGGUCCCAAGGGUAUGGCUGUUCGCCAUUUAAAGUGGUACGCGAGCUGGGUUUAGAACGUCGUGAGACAGUUCGGUCCCUAUCUGCCGUGGGCGCUGGAGAACUGAGGGGGGCUGCUCCUAGUACGAGAGGACCGGAGUGGACGCAUCACUGGUGUUCGGGUUGUCAUGCCAAUGGCACUGCCCGGUAGCUAAAUGCGGAAGAGAUAAGUGCUGAAAGCAUCUAAGCACGAAACUUGCCCCGAGAUGAGUUCUCCCUGAGACUUAAAGUCUCCUGAAGGAACGUUGAAGACGACGACGUUGAUAGGCCGGGUGUGUAAGCGCAGCGAUGCGUUGAGCUAACCGGUACUAAUGAACCGUGAGGCUUAACCUUACAACGCCGAAG